CCAUCAAAGGACUUUCCCAGAGAUGGUUGGGUCCUUGAAGAAGUAUCAGCCAGCUGCUGCACCGCGGUCGUCAAAAAAAAAUGUGAAGAGAUGUUUUAAGAAGUCCAGCAACGAGCACCCUCCUCCUCAUUUGCUAGCGAGUACAGUUGAGCACUCUAAGGGGACUGCCGGUGACAAACCGGAGGAAGGUGGGGAUGACGUCAAGUCAUCAUGGCCCUUAUGGGGGGGGCUACACACGUCAUACAAAGGUUGGUACAAAGGGAAGCAACCCCGCGAGGGGGACCCCAUCCCAUAAAACCAGUCGUAGUCCGGAUCGCAGUCUGCAACUCGACUGCGUGAAAGUCGGAAUCGCUAGUAAUAGUGGAUCAGAAUGUCGCGGUGAAUCGUUCCCGGGUCCUCCUCUCGGGCCCCGUCCCCCCCUGGAAUAGUCUCACCUUACCCCUCUCCCUACCUUAAGGAGGGCGCUUACCACGGCGGGAUUCAUGACCUGGGGGAAAUCGUACCCAAGGGACCCCGGCG
rnacentral:rRNA from 1 species